GGGAUCCCGGGGGUUCGCUCCCGGGUGAGAGUGGCGAACGGGUGAGUAAUGCGUGACCGACCUGCCCCAUACACCGGAAUAGCUCCUGGAAACGGGUGGUAAUGCCGGAUGCUCCGGUUGGAUGCAUGUCCUUCCGGGAAAGAUUCCAUCGGUAUGGGAUGGGGUCGCGUCCUAUCAGCUUGAUGGCGGGGUAACGGCCCACCAUGGCUUCGACGGGUAGCCGGCCUGAGAGGGCGACCGGCCACAUUGGGACUGAGAUACGGCCCAGACUCCUACGGGAGGCAGCAGUGGGGAAUAUUGCACAAUGGGCGCAAGCCUGAUGCAGCGACGCCGCGUGCGGGAUGGAGGCCUUCGGGUUGUAAACCGCUUUUGAUCGGGAGCAAGCCCUUCGGGGUGAGUGUACCUUUCGAAUAAGCACCGGCUAACUACGUGCCAGCAGCCGCGGUAAUACGUAGGGUGCAAGCGUUAUCCGGAAUUAUUGGGCGUAAAGGGCUCGUAGGCGGUUCGUCGCGUCCGGUGUGAAAGCCCAUCGCUUAACGGUGGGUCUGCGCCGGGUACGGGCGGGCUGGAGUGCGGUAGGGGAGACUGGAAUUCCCGGUGUAACGGUGGAAUGUGUAGAUAUCGGGAAGAACACCAAUGGCGAAGGCAGGUCUCUGGGCCGUCACUGACGCUGAGGAGCGAAAGCGUGGGGAGCGAACAGGAUUAGAUACCCUGGUAGUCCACGCCGUAAACGGUGGAUGCUGGAUGUGGGGCCCGUUCCACGGGUUCCGUGUCGGAGCUAACGCGUUAAGCAUCCCGCCUGGGGAGUACGGCCGCAAGGCUAAAACUCAAAGAAAUUGACGGGGGCCCGCACAAGCGGCGGAGCAUGCGGAUUAAUUCGAUGCAACGCGAAGAACCUUACCUGGGCUUGACAUGUUCCCGACAGCCGUAGAGAUAUGGCCUCCCUUCGGGGCGGGUUCACAGGUGGUGCAUGGUCGUCGUCAGCUCGUGUCGUGAGAUGUUGGGUUAAGUCCCGCAACGAGCGCAACCCUCGCCCUGUGUUGCCAGCACGUCAUGG
rnacentral:rRNA from 1 species